rnacentral:rRNA from 1 species
CAGCCGCAGUAAUCUGUGCUAAGGUAGCAUAAUCAUUUGUCUUAUAAUUAAAGACUAGGAUGAAAGGUCAAACGAAUGAAAAAUUUAAAACUUGUAAAACUAUAAAAUUAUACUUUAUGUAAAAAUACAUAAAUACUACAAAAAGACGACAAGACCCUGUCGAACUUAACUUCAGUUCUGCUGGGACAGCCUUUUCAUAAUAAUUUUAAAACAUUAAUUUCUACAACACCCUUACAAGAAAAGAAAAAGUUACCGCAGGGAUAACAGCGCAAUUUAUUUCAAAAGCUCUUAUACAAAAAUAAGAUUACGACCUCGAUGUUGAAUUAAUUUAACAAAUAAAUGCAAAACUUUAUAAGAAGGUCUGUUCGACCUUUAAACAAUUACAUGAUCUG